AGAGUUUGAUCCUGGCUCAGGAUGAACGCUAGCGGCAGGCUUAAUACAUGCAAGUCGAGGGGCAGCGCGGGUAGCAAUACCUGGCGGCGACCGGCAAACGGGUGAGGAACAUGUACGCAACCUUCCUUUAACUGGAGGAUAGCCCAUCGAAAGAUGGAUUAAUACUCCGUAACAUACUGAUAAGGCAUCUUAUUAUUAUUAUAGCUCUGGCGGUUAAAGAUGGGCGUGCAACUGAUUAGAUAGUUGGUGAGGUAACGGCUCACCAAGUCAGCGAUCAGUAACUGGUGUGAGAGCACGACCAGUCACACGGGCACUGAGACACGGGCCCGACUCCUACGGGAGGCAGCAGUAAGGAAUAUUGGUCAAUGGACGCAAGUCUGAACCAGCCAUGCCGCGUGGAGGAUUAAGGCCCUUGGGUUGUAAACUCCUUUUAUCUGGGAAGAAAUGCAUUUUUUCUAAAGUGCUUGACGGUACCAGAGGAAUAAGCACCGGCUAACUCCGUGCCAGCAGCCGCGGUAAUACGGAGGGUGCAAGCGCUAUCCGGAUUUACUGGGUUUAAAGGGUGCGUAGGCGGAUAGGUAAGUCAGUGGUGAAAUCUCCG
rnacentral:rRNA from 2 species